AGUAAGGACAGAAUUGAAUGCUGCCAGUGGGACUAGGCUGGGUGCUUGUUAAACCAAAGUGUUUCUUUAACCUGUAAAAGAGUUGUGCUGAGUAAGAAAAGUAAUUUAAUGAGUAAUGUCACUAUUGCAGUUGUGUAAUUAGUUAGGGUGACCUCAAUUUCCCGGACAUGUCCUCUUUUUGGGACCUAAAAAAUGCGUCCAGCCGGGAUUUCUAAAUCGCCCAAAAUGUCCGGGAUUCAUCUUCUACAGUUGGCAUCAAAAGGCGGUCGCCAUCUACUACGCUGCAGCCAGAUGCCGCCCUGACCCCAGGCUCUUUUGAUGGACACGCAGCGUGCCAGCUCUUUAUGCAGAGGACAAAGGAACACACCCGCGGCUCACCAACAGGGGCCUAUCAGCUAAUCACCGCGCACACCGCUGAACUGCCGGUCCAGCCACACCAACUGCCCCACAUCAUCAGUUCCCCCGGCUUCAUAUCCACACGAAAAUUAAGGACAGUAACCUUGCUAUGGACAUAACGUUAGCUUAUGGCAAAGGCAAAGAGACUGAAGAGGACGUUG